rnacentral:lncRNA from 1 species
CAUCUAUAUCACUUGUAUGAUACAUACAUAAUGGCUACUCAAAGUGGUGUGUGAACACUUGCAAUUUCAACAUGGAGCAGGAUAGACAGCAAGGGAGAGGAAGAAAUCCAAGAGCUCGUGGACAAGGGGCCCGUCGGAGAGGUGGGCAUGGGCCCCGUCAAAGAGUUCAAAGAGGUGGGCAUGGGCACCAUCAAAGAGGUGGACAUCAGAGAGAGGGAGGCAGACGGCAGGGAACUGUUGUGUCUAAUGAAGUCUGGGCCAUCGUCGUUGACCAUGUGAAUUGACUGAAGACCCCAUGGUGGUGACCUUGGCCAUGUGCUGACCAACCAGCAGGAGUGCAAAGUGGUGGAAAUGGUGAGGGCCAGGAAUGACAUACGGCUGUCCGAAAUAAAGCAGGCCAUUGAGGAGAACGAUGACACCUCGCCAAUCAGCUUAACAACGAUUGCCCGCUUUUUGAAUAGGCACCAGGUAUCUAUGAAACACAUUUACCUGGUGCCUUUUGAGAGAAAUAACGACCGGAUGAAACAACUGCGGGCUGAGUAUGUUCAGAGGGUGACAGUGCUUGAUGCUGCUGUGAACCAUCACAAAUAUAUCUUUGUUGAUGAAGCGGGCUUCAACCUGGCCAAAACUCUGCAACUGCGGGCGGAACCUCAUUUUCCAACGGCGACUGUCCAAGUGCCUGGACAAUGUGG